GAUGAACGCUAGCGGCAGGCUUAACACAUGCAAGUCGAGGGGUAGAAGUUGCUUGCCACUUUGAGACCGGCGCACGGGUGCGUAACGCGUAUGCAAUCUACCUUAUACAGAGGGAUAGCCCAGAGAAAUUUGGAUUAAUACCUCAUAGUAUAAUUGAAUGGCAUCAUUUAAUUAUUAAAGUUCUAACGGUAUAAGAUGAGCAUUCGUCCUAUUAGCUAGAUGGUAAGGUAACGGCUUACCAUGGCAACGAUAGGUAGGGGUCCUGAGAGGGAGAUCCCCCACACUGGUACUGAGACACGGACCAGACUCCUACGGGAGGCAGCAGUGAGGAAUAUUGGACAAUGGGUGCAAGCCUGAUCCAGCCAUGCCGCGUGCAGGAAGAAGCAUCUAUGGUGUGUAAACUGCUUUUGUACGGGAAGAAACACUCCCUCGUGAAGGAGCUUGACGGUACCGUAAGAAUAAGGAUCGGCUAACUCCGUGCCAGCCGCCGCGGUAAGAC
rnacentral:rRNA from 1 species